GCGCUCGUGGCGGAAUUGGCAGACGCGCUAGGUUGAGGGCCUAGUGACCGAAAGGUUGUGUGAGUUCAAGUCUCACCGGGCGCAC
rnacentral:tRNA from 1 species